rnacentral:rRNA from 1 species
UACAGAGGGGGCAAGCGUUGUUCGGAAUUACUGGGCGUAAAGGGCGCGUAGGCGGCCUGCUAAGUCGAACGUGAAAUCCCCGGGCUCAAACCCGGGAACUGCGUCCGAUACUGGCAGGCUUGAAUUCGGGAGAGGGAUGCGGAAUUCCGAGGUGUAGCGGUGGAAUGCGCAGAUAUCAGGAGGAACACCAAUAGCGAAGGCAGCUCGCUGGGACGGUAUUGACGCUAAGGCGCGAAAGCGUGGGGAGCAAACAGG